AGAAAUGACUGAUUACAGAUUAAAAGAAAUGUCUGAUUGCAGGUUGGUGCAGAGGAAGUGAAAGAUGAAGCUGGACUAUAUUGUGUAAGGAAGCUGGGAAGUGUUCAAAGAAUGAGGAAGGGCAGCUGUUGUUACAUCAAAUUCAAAGCUGAGGAAAAAGACUUAGGAAGCUAUGAAGUGUGUCCAAAGUCACACAGUUAACUGAAGAAUCUCUUGAUUCCACUUUUCCACUUCUGGGGUCUCUCACCCAUCUGUUUCAACCGGUCCAGGACCAAGAAGCAAGCUCAGUUUCUUCACAUGUCUCUCUGCUCCAUGUGCCUUCUCCAGGUCUCCUUCUUGCUCUCCAUCCUGCUUCCUUCCUUCUCCAGUUUCCUCUCCAGCUUCUUCUCCUCCCUGCUCAGCUCCACCCUCUUUUGGAGGUGUGGGGCAGUGAAUCUGGAACCUCCCCUUUUCCUGGGGACCACCCUAUUACAAGACAACAAGGUAAAUAGUGUGGGUGCUGGCAGGCCUAUCUACUCCAUGAGACUGUGGGCCAUGGAUUUAAAAGAGAUUUAAAAGAGAUUUUAAAGAGACUUGCAUUUUGGAAAACCAGUGGAAAUAAUGUGCCAAGGAGGAGCUGGUGUGCUAGCUUCUUCACCAUCCUGGAGGAAUAAAGUAAAUAUUUAACUGAGAGCUUCAGAAACUGUAACAAAGAAAGUGAUUCCUGGACCUGUCUUAAGAAGAUGAUGAAAUGGAAAAGCCAAAAAGUUUUAAUCUUCAUAAAUUUUCUGAAGUGCUAUAAGAGGUGAAUCAUGUGAAAAAUUUACUUUGUGAUGACCCCCAUGUUGCAGAUCAUUAAAAUGUACAUUUUAUUAUACAAGGUUAUAGAGACCAAACACUACACAUACAUAGGCAAUUUGGGUAAUUUUCAAGGAUGAAUUUUACUGUAUGAGAUUUUUACCUUAUGUUGACUGUAGUACCAAAGUCCCAGAUUAAGAUUAGAUUUGUGAACAU